CUUACGCUGUCAUGUUUUGCCGACCCCUGCGGUGAUGCCAAGACGGAAAUAGACACGCUGGAAUGUACUCAUUUCCAUUGAACAUCUGGCUGUCCUGUAGAAAACAAGGUAAUUACAGAGACGUGGGGAUUCUUGACUUGGCGGCGUGUUCUGUAAACACUCCGCCGCGGAGAGCCGUCCCACCAUAUGUCUCAAAACAGGGCAGACCUUUUUGGUUUUGUACAGCUGGGAAGCGGAGGGUGUUUUGCUGUGGCUUGUUGACUGAUUUUAUGUCAAGCGGUCGGAACUACGCACGGAUUCGGGUGGUGCUUCGAGUGGGCCUUAAACACGGCUCCGAAAGGGCUUCCUAAACUCAACAAUAAGGCAUCUUAAGCAGAAGACAGCUUGGAAAGUGGUUGCAAGAGGGGAACCUCAUAUGCCACCUUGAGCUCAAUGGAGAAAACCCAGAUUAUGGGAAUGUUCACCAACAAAGACACUCUGAUGAGAUGAUGGUGAUGAGCCCAUGUCGUCUUCUUUAUUGAUCGACCGCUGUUGAAUCUGUCCAGAACAGAAGGUGAUGCAAAUAACCGUGAGACGAGUGGGAGAGAAAAAGACUUCGUGAUGAGGCAGGAAAAGAAGACACACAGCAUUUUUCAGUGUCUUAAAUGUUAAUCACCAGGAAACAAAAAAUAAAUGAGCUAUGGGUAUUGUAUAAUUGCGAGAAAUUUUGAGAAAUGAGUUGUGUCCAGAGAAAUCCAAUUAAGCUUAUUAAUCUGGCACAGAGGAGGUAAGGAGGAGAAAGACCACACAUUGUUGGAAACUCAAGGAUUUCUUUACACCGGUGUGUGUGUACGUGAGUGCAUGUGUGCAUGCACGCUUGUGGAAACUACAUUAAUCAGGCACCCAAUGAUACUUUCAACCACUUUCCUAACAGAUUGCCCUAAUUACACUGAGUGGGCUAUUGUGCUGGAAACUCUUUGGCUGCUAAAAAGUAAAACACUGAAGUUUUUCAGUGGAGUUACACCAAGUGUGAAGGGCCUGGGUUACCAGUAAAGCCCAUUUGUAGAAUGUGGUUGUAACGAAGGAGCUUAUAUUUUAUUAAAUGCUGCCACCAAAUUAUAAAGUCUUUAUAAUGCUGCCACCAACUGUAAAGGGGAUUAUUAACGCUUGACACCACUUUGGGAAGAUGCAGCCACCAAAGAACUAGAGAGGCGAAAUUUUAAAUUUUGUUUUUCUUUCUUCUUCUUAUUUACUUAGAUGGUAACACAACUCAGUUCAUAAUAUAUGUGACAGAGGCUUAGAUGUUUGAGGAACAAUAACAAGUUUAUUCAGGCACAGAGCUUAAUGGUUACAAUAACGUUUAUCCUUAGAGGCACUUUAGUUAACAGUUGCAAUAUUAGAAUGAGGUGACUCAAACUUCCUAAAAUGUCACUUCUUUCUCUACUGCUUCUAAACCGCAGUCACCCUGUGAAAUACAAUCACAAAUUCUCCGUUCCUUAUCAGGACACAGACUGCAUUAAAUAAGUCACCAAACUUAUUUUAAACUGACUCAGAAAUAAGCAAUUGAGCCUCCCUGAUCCUUUCAACCCAGGAUUAGUCUUCCCUGUGCCUCAUUAGAGCACAGACUAACCACUUUUUAAAAACUCUGCACUUCAUCACCAAAACGGCAGUUGGCUCCGCCCACUUCUCCAUGGCAACCAACCUCCGAGUGCAGAGAUGCAACAACUGAAAUACUGACCCUUUUAAAAACACAAACACAUAAUUACACAUAACAUCUGUAAACCAAAAAUUCACACUUCAUUACAAUGGUGAUACUCUGAAAAGCGCCAUGGGAGUCUGUCUCCUUCCCAGAAGUCUACAGAACUUUUCAUAGACUUCUAAGGGUGCAUCAACACUGUAGGAUUAAUUCAGUUUGGCACCACUUCCAUGACCAGGGCUCAAUCCCAUGGAAUCAAUGACCAAAGUGCGAAGAGGCUGAAAUCUGACUAGUAAUUCAUUUUGGAGAUUCGGAUGCCUUCUGCUUUGUAUCGAAUUCCGAUAAGUAAUCCGAAUCUAUGAAUGUUUCGUAGGCUGCUGUUUAAUUUUUUAAUGCUCCAUAGAUGUCCCUUUCCGGUUCGCAAUCUAGAGAUUCAUAUUUACAAAUCAUACAAAUCUCUGAACUGCGAAUCAGAACGCCGAAGCUUUGCACACUCCUACCAAAUAUAUACGCAUUCUUGAUAUAUGUGUGUGUUAACUCUUUCUAGAUACUGGAGUAAAAACAUGUAAACAUUCAGUGAAAUGAUGGUAACUUGGA